GGACAAGCUGAGAUAAAUUCAGUCUAUCCCCCAGGCCCUGCGGGCCCGGUCAGUCACCCCGAUGGCCAAGAAGUUAAGGAACUGCUGCUCUUUGCAUGUGAGGUGUGCAAUAAGAGGUUUAAGUAUUGAGGCAAGCUAGCCAUCCACAAGAGAUCACACACAGGAAAGAGAUUCUUUCAAUGUAAUCUCUGUGGGAAGCGCUUCAGGCAGGGCAUAGGCCUGCAAUUUCACCAGCAAACCCACACUGGGGAGAGGCCCUACACGUGUGACGUCUGCCAGAAGCAGUUCACCCAGAAGUCCUACUUGAAGUGCCACAAGAGAAGCCACACAGGGGAGAAGCCCUUCAAAUGUAAAGACUGCAAGAAAGUUUUCACCUACAAGACGAAUCUGAAGGAGGACCAGCGCAUCCACUCCGGAGAGAAAUCCUACAAAUAUGUUCCAAGCGUCCAAGAGCCUUCGGUCGGCCCGCGACCUUAAGACGCCACCAGAAAACACUUCCAGAAACCACUUCGCA
rnacentral:lncRNA from 1 species